GUCACAUAGGAAAGCAUUCAUAAUGCUUUCCUAUGGACGCUGGUGUGCUCUCACUGUGAAAAUCACAGUGAGAAGCAUGCAAGCGCCUCUAGUGGCUGUCAAUGAGACAGCCACUAGAGGAUUAGGGGGAAGGCUUAACCCAUUAAUAAACAUAGCAGUUUCUCUGAAACUGCUAUGUUUAUGAAAAAAUGGGUUAACUCUAGCUGGAC